GCCACUGUAGUGGUGGGGACAAAGGCUCUUCGCCUAAGGAAACAAUGGCCCCUCCUGAAACAAGUCCCUAAAAAGCUGGGGCACCUGGGGCGUCGCACAGGGAAGCGCAGAAGACACUGAUGUCUGCUUGGAUUGUCCUCUGUCCACACUGCCUCCCAAGUGUCAAGCAAUGGAAAAAGAACAAGCGGUAUCCUCAACGUUUAGAAGAGCUUCGAUCUCUCUGGUCCAACAAGACAAACUCCCUUCGUGAGGUCUCUAUGACUUGGUACCCAGCUUCUAAGGCUGUCUGUCAUCUCAGAUGCUCCAGUCAGGCUCGUUAGAAGCAGAUAUCUCCAAAUACAUCGGGAUAUUCAAC
ensembl:lncRNA